rnacentral:rRNA from 1 species
UGCCGCCUUAAGUAAAUGACGAUAACAACCGGUACCGGCGGAUACGACCCGACAACGCGCAGCGGGAGCAGGAGUAGCGGCGGCGGCGCUGGACCCGCCGCCGCGAUCUGCUGGGCCGCCCCGAAGACGCUGCCCGGUUCCUCCGCCUCAAGUACCUGACCUACCACCCCCACGCGGCCGCCUAGGUGCUCUUGGGACUCGAGCCGAUGCUCCUCAAACUGUGGUCACUCGAGCACGCCGCGCUCGAGCUACGGUACCCCUAGGGGAUGUCCGUAGGGAAGCGCCAGUGGCCGCAGCAGCGGUGGCAGCCGUGUCCGCCGGGCGGGAAGCAGCGCGAAGCCCGGCUGUACCUGCGCGAGGGAUACGUCCUUUCGCACCUUACCCUUGUAUUCUCGUUUCACGGACCCUUCUACGUACCUACACCGGUACUACGUGUACAACGAUACGAUAACCCAAGACGAUUCUAAGAAGUCCUCGUGGCACUGCUCAACUUCCCAUGACAUCGGGAAGAAAAGGUUGGUCGACUCCUUCCACCACCACCUCGGUUCUUUUACCAUCUUCGGCCUCGACACCUUUUGUAUCUCCAGUACAAACCUGAAGUACAUCGACUGUCACACGGCUAACCACACGACCGUAGGUCUGGACCCGGAUAUUACCGUCCCUCACCUAAGAAACUCCGUCAUUAUUCACCUUUCCCUCCCGUACGACGUGAAGGAGUAGUGUGAUAACUAGGUUAUGACCGACGUAGGUUACAAUAACAUUCGGAAGUCGUUGAACAAAGGGCUCUUCGACUGGGGAACCUGAGUGUCCAUCAUUGCCAACCUUUCAAAGUUCCACCACCUCGGAAGUUACAAUAGGGACUAAGUCACUGUUAUCCACCAUGGAAGGCUCGGAAAUACUUCCUCUCAAAAUUAGUUAACUUCGUCGCUUAACUUCUCCAGUAUCAGUGUGUCCGUAGACAGGUCGCGACGUCGCGUCAACACCUGAAGGAACUGUUUCUAUUCGGAAAGAAGGGAGGUUGUUAGUUGUUAGGACUCGAAGUGCUAAAGAAACGCUUCCACACGUCACUCUACCAACCGGGGUUGUUGCACUCUCUCUUCGUCGGUGACUACCCACGGCUCCUGAAGAGGAAGAUGUGGCUCCGGCAAGGGUUCUGUAUGAUGAUGAAACACCCCUACGAGUUGCUCUGAGCACCUGGCGUCCGCGGAGUAGUGAGGGGGAUGAAGUGGUAGUUGCUCCUACGUGACGGGAUGCCACGUCGGUACGUUCGUAGCAACCGACGAGCGAUAGACGAACUCGUGGUCGGGCGAUGGCGACGAUUCCACCUUGGAGCGCUGCUCGACAUCUACCACAGGUACAACUUACUUUGCCACCUUCCUGUUCCUGCACGUGUCGUUAACAACCAAUUUUUCCCUGCUCCUGGAGACAUAGCGGUCCACUAAUACGUUGACAAACAUGUAUUAAAGGACUAAAGUCGCGUAAGGUUCGCUCGUCUACUGGAACACUGCCGUAACUUCGUGACGCUUGUACACAAAGACACCAUCCAGAGCAAGCAAAAGCGUAGACGUGAAUAGGCCCAGAUACACAUUAGAAAUUCACGUCACCACUCUGUUUUAUUUUGUGGGGCACCUACUACUUACAUAACCCAACAAUUCUCAACCCUGUCUGUCCUUAAAAUAUCGUACUAAGGUAGGAAAUCAUCGUUCUUUACCAGCUUUUAUAUAAGGUCGUUUUUCUUUUUUCUUUGCCAACUUUGUUCC